rnacentral:rRNA from 1 species
UACGUAGGUGGCAAGCGUUGUCCGGAUUUACUGGGUGUAAAGGGCGUGUAGGCGGAGCUGCAAGUCAGAUGUGAAAUCCCGGGGCUCAACCCCGGAACUGCAUUUGAAACUGUAGCCCUUGAGUAUCGGAGAGGCAGGUAGAAUUCCUAGUGUAGCGGUGAAAUGCGUAGAUAUUAGGAGGAACACCAGUGGCGAAGGCGGCCUGCUGGACGACAACUGACGCUGAGGCGCGAAAGCGUGGGGAGCAAACAGG